rnacentral:lncRNA from 1 species
GCGGCAGAGCGGGUGGGAAGGACGCCUGGGAGCUGGACCCAGUCUCAGCGUGGCACUUCCCACAGGGCCGCCCAAGAGUGUCCCCGGCCGCGCCGUGCGCCCUGAGCCUCCCGCGCCGGCCCCCGCGGCCCUGGAACCCGCGCCGGUGGUGGCGCUGGUGUUGGCAGCCUUCGUGCUGGGCGCCGCGCUGGCCGCCGGGCUGGGCCUCGUCUGUGCGCACUCAGCGCCCCACGCCCCUGGCCCGCCCGCGAGAGCCUCGCCCAGCGGUCCCCAGCCCAGGAGGUCCCAGUGAGGAAGGGAUGGUGCGCCCCCAACGUGGUCGGGAGAUACACCCAGCUACCAAUUCGGGACCAGGACCAAGAGGACCGGACCCGCCUCCCUGGACCUCGGACCUGAUGGGGCCACGACCCCUGCGCUUCUCUCCUCCCCCUGUCCCUCCCACCUGUGCUCAAAAUAAACCUCUGGACUGACCGGCUAAGUUCUGGUGCAGUCAGUGAGCGCGCAACGUGCGGGGUGGGGGAUAGGUGGGGAGGCUUGGGGAGAAAGCUGGGAGCAGGACUUGGGGGGUAUUCCUGAGAAAUCGUGACUUAGAGGGGUGGAGCCUGGGGACGGGGCCCAUAUGCCCAUAUACCCGUGUGCACUCCCAGGCCAUGGGAGACUGUAGGGCGUUUUGUCUCAAACCGAAAGCGACACCCGGCCGGGCGCGGUGGCUCCCGCCUGUAAUCCCAGCACAUUGGGAGGCCGAGGUGGGUGGAUCACUUGAGGUCAGGAGUUCCAGACCAGCGUGGCCGACAUGGUGAAACCCUGUCCCUACUAAAAAAAGUAACAAAAAAAGAAUUAGCAGGGCGUAGUGGCGCGUGCUUAUAAUCCCAGCUGCUGGGGAGGCUGAGGCAGGAGAAUCGCUUGAACCCAGGAGGCGGAGGUUGCAGUGAGCCAUUGCACUGCAGCCUGGGCAACAAGAGCAAAAAUCUGUCUUAAAAAAAAAAAAAGCGGCACCCAACCCCACAAGCGUAAGUUUAAAAUAAACCCUCCCCCUCCCUCCUCUCCUUACCCGGACACCUGCCCAUCUGCCUCCUGCGAUCUUUCUCAAGCCAGGCCUUCUCCGCUCUCCAUUACCCCCGCCCGGACCCUGCCCUAGCUCCGCUUCGACCUUCUGCCUCUGCUCCAGUUCCGUCCUGGUCUGGACUUCGCCCUCCUCUUAGAUUGUCAGUCUAGUCUAGAGCUCCUUAAAUCCCUCCUGCCCGAGCUCCACUCCACCUUACACAGACAAGAGUGGGACUAUCAGCCCCAGUCUACAGAGGAGGAAACUGAGGCUCGGCAAGGCUAAAUCACUUGCUCAAAGUCCCCAGGCCUGUCUGACCCCAGAGCCCAGGCUCUUGAC